UUCAUGAAAAAUGCAUGGGUUGGAGGAGACGUGGGUUGGCAGCACUGGAGACGUGCAUUUCAACUACUCGGGAAACAUUUCAAGCCUACUUGGUGUGUGCGGGAAAGCGCGAUUUAACCACGAAAAAACGGAAAUUCGGCCGGAAAUUAAUGAAAAUUAAUUUUUGGAAACGUCCUCGAGGUAAGUUAAAAUCGACGAAUUUUUUUAGUACGAAGAAAGUUAGUGGAUGAUCUUCAAUGUCAAGGACACUGCGCAUGGCAGGCUUGCGCGACGUCAUGAACCAGUGGCGUGCAGGAGUUAUUACAUAAUUUUUUAUUGUGAAGCCCGGGCUGAGAACUUUCCUGAAGUGGGAAGCGGACAAUAUGUUCACGGUUCAAAGUUAACGAGUCCAUUAUACAUCAAGAGAACAAGGGAAGCAUGAGCGAUAAGAUUUACAAAAUAAAAGUAUAAGCGAGAAAAAUAAAAGCCACAAAUACA